ACUUAAAUUGAAGAGUUUGAUCAUGGNCUCAGAUUGAACGCUGGCGGCAGGCCUAACACAUGCAAGUCGAGCGGUAGCACAGAGAGCUUGCUCUCGGGUGACGAGCGGCGGACGGGUGAGUAAUGUCUGGGAAACUGCCUGAUGGAGGGGGAUAACUACUGGAAACGGUAGCUAAUACCGCAUAAUGUCGCAAGACCAAAGUGGGGGACC
rnacentral:rRNA from 1 species